UUCUAUUUUCGGCUCUUUCUAAUUUCUUUAAGUUUGAACUAGCUGCAGUGCCCCAUAACUCGAUGCCAUAUGUCCACGCUGGUUUUAAAAUGCUCUUAUAAAUGAGUAAUUUGUUCUUUAUUGACAAUUUUCAUAAGUUUUGUUUUGCCCACGAUGUGUUCCUUCCACGUUAGUCUGGAAUCCAGGGUCAGACCCAGAUAUUUGGCUGUGAGCUGUUGUGGGAUGGCUGCACCGUUUAGCAUAACCGAUGGGGAUAUUCCUGGUCGUAAGGAGAAGUAUUUUCUGUAUUAAUUGCGCUUUUAUUAGUAGUCGGUCACUCUAUUUUGGCAAGCACGCGGUAUAGAAAGAGUUAGCAAGAUGUACCCUUAUCUGUCGUAUCCAACAGCCAAUCCGCCGGGGUAAGCACCGGCGUACGCCCCGUACCCGGCAUCGUACCAGCAGCCUUAUGCGCCGGGGUACGCCUGUUAUCCUUCUCACCAUCCUGCUCCUGCCCCAGUACCGUACUAUUACCCCUACGGACUCCCGUACCAGCGGUGGGAUGCAGGAUGGUGUAACGGGCGCCGCCGGCGCCCCCACUGCUCAAUACGAGCUCACAGGCGCUAUGGCAACAACAAUGCUGCAGCAGGUCCUGCAGCUGCAGCUGGGCCCCGUAAC